CAGUCGCCGCGGUAAUACGGAGGGUGCAAGCGUUAAUCGGAAUUACUGGGCGUAAAGCGCACGCAGGCGGUCUGACAAGUCAGAUGUGAAAUCCCCGGGCUUAACCUGGGAACUGCAUUUGAAACUGUCAGGCUGGAGUCUUGUAGAGGGGGGUGGAAUUCCAGGUGUAGCGGUGAAAUGCGUAGAGAUCUGGAGGAAUACCGGUGGCGAAGGCGGCCCCCUGGACAAAGACUGACGCUCAGGUGCGAAAGCGUGGGGAGCAAACAGGAUUAGAUACCCCUGUAGUCCCUGUCUCUUAUAU
rnacentral:rRNA from 1 species